rnacentral:rRNA from 1 species
GAUGAACGCUGGCGGCGUGCCUAAUACAUGCAAGUCGAGCGAACAGACGAGGAGCUUGCUCCUCUGACGUUAACGGCGGACGGGUGAGUAACACGUGGAUAACCUACCUAUAAGACUGGGAUAACUUCGGGAAACCGGAGCUAAUACCGGAUAAUAUAUUCAACCGCAUGGUUCAAUAGUGAAAGACGGUUUUGCUGUCACUUAUAGAUGGAUCCGCGCCGCAUUAGCUAGUUGGUAAGGUAACGGCUUACCAAGGCGACGAUGCGUAGCCGACCUGAGAGGGUGAUCGGCCCCACUGGAACUGAGACACGGUCCAGACUCCUAGGGGAGGCAGCAGUAGGGAAUCUUCCGCAAUGGGCGAAAGCCUGACGGAGCAACGCCGCGUGAGUGAUGAAGGUCCUCGGAUCGUAAAACUCUGUUAUUAGGGAAGAACAAAUGUGUAAGUAACUAUGCACGUCUUGACGGUACCUAAUCAGAAAGCCACGGCUAACUACGUG